rnacentral:rRNA from 1 species
CUACACAUGCAGUCGAGCGGUAGCACAGAGAGCUUGCUCUCGGGUGACGAGCGGCGGACGGGUGAGUAAUGUCUGGGAAACUGCCUGAUGGAGGGGGAUAACUACUGGAAACGGUAGCUAAUACCGCAUAACGUCGCAAGACCAAAGUGGGGGACCUUCGGGCCUCAUGCCAUCAGAUGUGCCCAGAUGGGAUUAGCUUGUUGGUGAGGUAACGGCUCACCAAGGCGACGAUCCCUAGCUGGUCUGAGAGGAUGACCAGCCACACUGGAACUGAGACACGGUCCAGACUCCUACGGGAGGCAGCAGUGGGGAAUAUUGCACAAUGGGCGCAAGCCUGAUGCAGCCAUGCCGCGUGUAUGAAGAAGGCCUUCGGGUUGUAAAGUACUUUCAGCGAGGAGGAAGGCAUUAAGGUUAAUAACCUUAGUGAUUGACGUUACUCGCAGAAGAAGCACCGGCUAACUCCGUGCCAGCAGCCGCGGUAAUACGGAGGGUGCAAGCGUUAAUCGGAAUUACUGGGCGUAAAGCGCACGCAGGCGGUCUGUCAAGUCGGAUGUGAAAUCCCCGGGCUCAACCUGGGAACUGCAUUCGAAACUGGCAGGCUAGAGUCUUGUAGAGGGGGGUAGAAUUCCAGGUGUAGCGGUGAAAUGCGUAGAGAUCUGGAGGAAUACCGGUGGCGAAGGCGGCCCCCUGGACAAAGACUGACGCUCAGGUGCGAAAGCGUGGGGAGCAAACAGGAUUAGAUACCCUGGUAGUCCACGCUGUAAACGAUGUCGACUUGGAGGUUGUUCCCUUGAGGAGUGCCUUCCGGAGCUAACGCGGUAAGUCGACCGCCUGGGGAGUACGGCCCGCAAGGGUUAAAACUCAAUUGAAUUGACGGGGGCCCGCCCAAGCGGUGGAGCAUUGUGUUUUAUUUCGAUGCAACGCGAAGAAACCUUACUUACUCUUGGCUUCCCAGAGAACUUAGCAAAAAAUGCUUUGGUUGCCUUCGGGAA